ACGGGGCCCGGCACAAGCGGUGGAGUAUGUGGUUUAAUUCGAUGCAACGCGAAGAACCUUACCUGGUCUUGACAUCCCGGAGACCCUUAGGAAACUAGGGGUGCUUCCAUCUGGAAGAAUCUGGAGACAGGUGCUGCAUGGCUGUCGUCAGCUCGUGUCGUGAGAUGUUGGGUUAAGUCCCGCAACGAGCGCAACCCUUGCCUUUAGUUGCCAGCAGUUCGGCUGGGCACUCUAAAGGGACUGCCGGUGUUAAACCGGAGGAAGGUGGGGAUGACGUCAAGUCCUCAUGGCCUUUAUGACCAGGGCUACACACGUACUACAAUGGCCGAUACAAAGGGCAGCGACACUGCGAGGUGAAGCCAAUCCCGUAAAAUCGGUCUCAGUCCGGAUUGGAGUCUGCAACUCGACUCCAUGAAGUUGGAAUCGCUAGUAAUCGUGGAUCAGCAUGCCACGGUGAAUACGUUCCCGGGCCUU
rnacentral:rRNA from 1 species